AGUUAGCCUGCCGGGUUCUGGGUUUUGAAGGAGAUGGGGGGAGAGGUUUUCUGAUUUUUUUUUUUGGAAAACAAAGGAAGAAAUGAGUUUUUUUUUUUUAAAAAAAUUGGUUUUUAUAAAGGACCUAAACGGUGCCAUUUUGGGCCUUAACCUCAAUGGCCAAAAACGACGUCGUUUGCCCAUAGUGACCUGCGUUGUGACCCAACCCCCCUCCAAAUUUGGGUGUUGCUUCG
rnacentral:lncRNA from 1 species